rnacentral:lncRNA from 1 species
AGGGCAGGGCAGAAAGACAGCUGUGGGCCUGGCUGUCGUGGGAAGAAGCAGGAUGAAUCGGAGGACGUAGACCCAGGGAAGAGCUGGGCCUUUCUCACCUGGUUCCCUGUUCUUAGUGGGCUUGGGGAUAAGCCUGGUGGCUGCAGGGGUGAGGAGGAGGAGCCUGGACUCCCCACCUUCAGUGUGUGGCCUUGAAGCUACACCUGGUGAGUGAGCCCCUUCCUGUGAAGGAGGGAGGGAGCAACAUGCUCCUGGGGGGGGGGGCACUCCCAUGAAUGGCGAUUAGAAAGCGGACCUGGCCACCGUCUGCCUGGUGCCUGUGGGCAGGCAGCUCGUCAGUUCUGAGCCUCAGCUUCCCCCUCUGUAAACUGGGAAUGAUGCCCACGCAGGACAAAGACAAACUGGGAGGACAGGGCCAGGGUGGACAUCUGGGUCUGCUCACAGGAGAGGGGACAAUGCCCCAGCCACGCGCGCUCUCUCAAGAGUCCGCAGCCCCUUCACCAUGUGGUGGUCAUCAAGCUCAGGGACCUCUUGGGGCUCCCUGUGUCCCACCCCAUCCACAGCCCCACGGGGUCCUCCCUUGGCUGGCUGUCCCCCUCAGCUCCCACUCCUGGCUGACGCUGGUGGGUUGGUUUCCUCGAAUGUUCUCCUUCUUUCCCACCAGGGCCCUUGCUCGCUCUGCCCACCUCGUCCAGCCAGUAUGCCAUCGGGUCUUCCACCACACAAGACGUGAGGCCAGAACUGCUGUCAGGGAGACUCCCCUGUGUCUUCCACAUCUUCCUCCUGGGCCUGGAGGACCUCCUCCUGAUGUCUGAUUGGAUGAAAGGGUGAAAGUCACUCACUUGACAGCGGGACUGUCUUCUCCCCUCCAAGUCCCCCACCUGUUGCCUUUGGUGGCACACAGUAGUUCCACAAUAUGUGAAAAGGUAGAAUUUUUUGAGAAAAAGGAAAAGGAAGGUUUAUUACUUUGCUAGCAAAAGAGAAACACAGGGGACUCCUGUCCCAGAGGCUAUGAUUCUGCACAUCAGCAGCAACAGGGCGCUUUUAAAGAGGUGAUUCAAAGGCUGCAUUUCCCUUGUUCUCUGUCUGGAGUUGAAUUCACUUGUUAAUUGGGGAGAUGGUCAUUUCUGAGGCCCUCUGGUACCAUCCCCCAGUCUGGACUCCUUCCUUCCUAUGGUGGGUGUGUCCUCAGGACGGAUAACUCUGCCUGGGAUGGGGAGAGAGGUAAUCCUAUUUCCCCUGAGAUUAGGAAGGGAAGAAACAUGUCCAUUUUAAAAAUCAAUUGCAGUGGCCGAGCAGCAAGGGCUACAUCUCAAGCAUAAAGUGGACACUGCUGCAUUGCCCCACGGUCCAGUCUACCUUCCAUGUCUGUGGAAAAACGGGUGACAACAUCUCCAAGCUGCUUCCUGCCGAAAGGGAGCAAAGUUGGGGGAAGUGACCCAAAGUCCUUGUGGGGCAUGGACAGGGAAGGGCAUUCAGCAUCAGAGCAGUCCAGGGGUCCAGUAUAAAAUGGCGGGUAACUGGACAAGGCGUGCACAGGGCAGGCACCAUGCACAUGGCCAAGGGUGGCGCGACUUUACUGGGUUGAGCUUCCUUUAUCUCGAUGGACCACAAUGGAGCAACCCGCUCUGUUCAGGGAGAGGGUCGGAUUUUUUAAAUGUUGAAAAAUAGCAGAAAAAAAAAGGGCUGGAACUCAUGCCUAUUGAGCCUUUCCUCAUGCCGGGCCCUAGAAGGUGGCCUUUCAUGAGCUUGUGGGAGACCCUGAGGGGGGCUGAUGGACCUCAAAUUUUAGGAAGGAAAUAGGCCCGAGGGGUGACCUGCCCAAGGUCACACAGCUGGUCACCAUUAGACACAGAUCCAAACUCUGUCUGGCUCAAGAGAUGGGCCCAGGCAUCCAGCCAUGUCCCCCUGCUCUGUUGAGGCCUCAGUCCUUCCAGCUGAGGCCAGGCACCCACUGGCCAGAGCCUUAGCCUCCCAGCUGGCUCUGCACUCUCCUCCCUGAGUAGGGAGGGCAGUGCCUGGAACCAGCCUGGGGCCUCCUAGGACCCCAGCUGGAGCCUUAGGGUCCCUGCACCUUUCCACAGCCAUUCAGUGUGUAGCCCCAGGCAGGCUGACUGAGCUCCACCCAGGCCUACCCUGAGUGGCUGGCAAAGGCUGACCUCACCCUCCACACCCAAGCAUUAGGACAGAGCCAGCUGCUAUUGUGCAAUCCUUGCAAACCAUCUCCACAGUCAGGGCUGGGAGCCUGCCGAGCUGACAAAGCUCAUCCAGCUCCCUUAUGUAAAAGACAAGGACUCAGAGAGGUUAAGCAACUCUUCCCAAGUCACACAGUGUUCAGAACAUUGGAACUAGUCAGUGUGGGUGCGUCGUGUUUUCAAAACCUUCAACACUGUUUAUCUCUGGAGGGUGGAGUUACUUUCCUUUUCUUCCUUGUAAAUCUCAAAUGUGUAAUUUUGGUAACCAAGAGGAAAAGGAAAAAAUGUUAAAAGGCAAACAUAUUUAGGGCAGCAGUGUUCUUCAAACCAAGCUUGUUGGACACAGCUCGCCCACUUCCCAGCUGUGUGUGGCUGGGCAUGUGGCUUCUAUGACACUGCCUGGUUGAUAAAAUGAGAAUAAGAAACGCGUGUCUCUUGCAGGGCCGAUAUGAAGAGCCCAGAGACAGGAUCAGCAGCCCCCAGCCCAUUGUGCCAAGGCAUCCCCUGCCUCUGCACAGCUCACAAGGGUAGUUUUCACAUUUUAAAUGACGGGGGCAAAAACAAUAGAAAGAAGCCUCGUAUUUUGUGACAAGUGAAAGUCACAGGAAAUUCAACUGUGGGUGCUUAUAAAUAAAGUUUUAUCGGCACGUAGGCCCACGCAUUGUGACAGAGA